UACGUAGGGCGCAAGCGUUGUCCGGAAUUAUUGGGCGUAAAGAGCUCGUAGGCGGCUUGUCGCGUCGGAUGUGAAAACCCGGGGCUCAACUCCGGGCCUGCAGUCGAUACGGGCAGACUAGAGUUCGGCAGGGGAGACUGGAAUUCCUGGUGUAGCGGUGAAAUGCGCAGAUAUCAGGAGGAACACCGGUGGCGAAGGCGGGUCUCUGGGCCGAUACUGAUGCUGAGGAGCGAAAGCGUGGGGAGCGAACAGGA
rnacentral:rRNA from 1 species